rnacentral:rRNA from 1 species
AGGGUUCGAUUCUGGCUCAGGAUGAACGCUAGCGGCAGGCUUAACACAUGCAAGUCGAGGGGCAGCGUGGAGUAGCAAUACUCUGACGGCGACCGGCGAAAGGGUGAGUAACGCGUGAGCAACAUGCCCGUAGUUGGGGGAUAGUCGAUGGAAACGUCGCGUAAUACCCCGUAACAACAGAGGCCGCAUGACCUUUGUUUAAGAGAUUUAUUGUCUACGGAUUGGCUCGCGUACCAUUAGCUAGUUGGCGGGGUAACGGCCCACCAAGGCGACGAUGGUUAGGGGUUCUGAGAGGAAGGUCCCCCCACAUUGGAACUGAGACACGGUCCAGACUCCUACGGGAGGCAGCAGUGAGGAAUAUUGGUCAAUGGCCGAGAGGCUGAACCAGCCAUGCCGCGUGCGGGAUGACGGCCCUAUGGGUUGUAAACCGCUUUUGUUGGGGAGCAAUAAGGUUCACGUGUGGACUGAUGAGAGUACCCAGCGAAUAAGCAUCGGCUAACUCCGUGCCAGCAGCUGC